GUUUCUUACCUGGCGGUGGACUUGGAGUUGGACGUCUGCCGGUCACACGGCUCGUCUUAAAGACCUUAGUGGGAAUAUCGGCUCAUGGCCCGACGUAAUAAGUUUCGUCUGGCUCUGUCGUUAACGCCUGCUCAUAACCAGCCUCGGGCAAUUACUUUAUGCUAGACCUCAAAUCAGGUAGGACUACCCGCUGAACUUAA
rnacentral:misc_RNA from 1 species